rnacentral:rRNA from 1 species
AGAGAGCAAAAGGAUGAAAAAGAGAGGUAUAAAACUUUCAGCAAUGGAUGUCUUGGCUCGCGCUUCGAUGAAGGACGCAGCGAAAUGCGAUACGCAUUGUGAAUUGCAGAUUUCAGUGAACCAUCAGAUUUCUGAACGCAUAUGGCGCUGCCGGGAUUUCCUCUGCAGCACGUCUGUUUCAGUGUC